rnacentral:piRNA from 1 species
UNCCACUAAACAGUGCUCCCUGGCCCCU